rnacentral:rRNA from 1 species
AACAGUAGCCGCGGGAAUACGUAGGUGGCAAGCGUUGUCCGGAAUUAUUGGGCGUAAAGCGCGCGCAGGCGGAUAGGUCAGUCUGUCUUAAAAGUUCGGGGCUUAACCCCGUGAUGGGAUGGAAACUGCCAAUCUAGAGUAUCGGAGAGGAAAGUGGAAUUCCUAGUGUAGCGGUGAAAUGCGUAGAUAUUAGGAAGAACACCAGUGGCAAAGGCGACUUUCUGGACGAAAACUGACGCUGAGGCGCGAAAGCCAGGAGAGCGAACGGGAUUAGAUACCCCCGUAGUCCCUGUCUCUUAUACA